rnacentral:rRNA from 1 species
AACGNGAAAAACCUUACCUACCCUUGACAUGUCCAGAAGCCUGAAGAGAUUUGGGUGUGCCCGAAAGGGAACUGGAACACAGGUGCUGCAUGGCUGUCGUCAGCUCGUGUCGUGAGAUGUUGGGUUAAGUCCCGCAACGAGCGCAACCCUUGUCGUUAAUUGCCAUCAUUCAGUUGGGCACUUUAACGAGACUGCCGGUGACAAACCGGAGGAAGGUGGGGAUGACGUCAAGUCCUCAUGGCCCUUAUGGGUAGGGCUUCACACGUCAUACAAUGGUCGGUACAGAGGGUUGCCAAGCCGCGAGGUGGAGCCAAUCCCAGAAAGCCGAUCGUAGUCCGGAUCGCAGGCUGCAACUCGCCUGCGUGAAGUCGGAAUCGCUAGUAAUCGCGGAUCAGCAUGUCGCGGUGAAUACGUUCCCGGGUCUUGUACACACCGCCCGUCACACCAUGGGAGCGGGUUCCGCCAGAAGUAGGUAGCCUAACCGCAAGGAGGGCGCUUACCACGGCGGGGUUCGUGACUGGGGUGAAGUCGUAACAAGGUAGCCGUAGGGGAACCUGCGGCUGGAUCACCUCC